AUGUAAUCCUUAACCCAUAAUGCUGCAAAGAAAAGUUUUAAUUUAAUAUUAUCGAUAAUUCAACAAUUGAAGUACAAAAUGUAUAAGGGACAGAACAGUAAAAGUUUUAGGAACAUUUUAUUAAAUGAGAAAAAUGAAAAGGAAAGAUUUAAGGAUAGAGGUAAUAGCUGUCAAGGAAGAGUAAUGGAUGCCUACACAAAAAUAACGGAAGCUGAAUUAAAGAAGGAUUAUGCACCAGAAAUGGUUGGAGGAGCUUGGAGACUACAAUUCAUUUUCACGAAAAUAUUAACAAUGAAUUAAGAGAUUAUUUGUAUUCAUUUACCAGAUCACCUUUUGGCUAUAUGAGCUUUUGUCAUAACUUGACAUCUGUUGUACUGUUUUUUUUUAAAGAUCAAAUCUUGCUGA